AGAGUUUGAUCCUGGCUCAGAUUGAACGCUGGCGGCAUGCUUUACACAUGCAAGUCGAACGGUAACAGGGAGCUUGCUCCGCUGACGAGUGGCGAACGGGUGAGUAAUGCAUCGGAACGUACCCAGUCGUGGGGGAUAACGUAGCGAAAGUUACGCUAAUACCGCAUACGUCCUGAGGGAGAAAGCGGGGGACCGAAAGGCCUCGCGCGAUUGGAGCGGCCGAUGUCGGAUUAGCUAGUUGGUGGGGUAAAGGCCUACCAAGGCGACGAUCCGUAGCGGGUCUGAGAGGAUGAUCCGCCACACUGGGACUGAGACACGGCCCAGACUCCUACGGGAGGCAGCAGUGGGGAAUUUUGGACAAUGGGGGCAACCCUGAUCCAGCCAUGCCGCGUGAGUGAAGAAGGCCUUCGGGUUGUAAAGCUCUUUCAGACGGAAAGAAAACGCAUCGGUGAAUACCCGAUGUGGAUGACGGUACCGUAAGAAGAAGCACCGGCUAACUACGUGCCAGCAGCCGCGGUAAUACGUAGGGUGCGAGCGUUAAUCGGAAUUACUGGGCGUAA
rnacentral:rRNA from 1 species